UGACUCUCGCUCUUUUUCUCUGUGCAAUAAUAUUCCAAUCUGUGAAGUCAAGUAGCAGAGCAGUAGUAGGCUUUGUGUUAACCAUUACUUCUUCGUUUCUUGUUUUCCCUCCCCUGUACAAUUAUCUUUUCUGCUACUCGAACCUCUGCUUUUGGAUACAACCUUCCAAAAUUUCUAUCUCUCUCUUGCAAUCUUUUCUGUUUCGUUUCUUACUAAAUUUAUUUUUGAAGUUCCAACUGAGCUUUUGAGUGUGGUUGUCAUGGACGGAGGCGCACAGUACAACCCGCGAACAGUAGAGGAGGUUUUCAGGGAUUUCAAGGGCCGGAGAGCUGGCAUGAUAAAAGCCCUAACUACUGAUGUUGAAGAAUUUUAUCAGCAGUGCGACCCUGAGAAGGAAAAUCUUUGCUUGUAUGGAUACCCUAAUGAACAGUGGGAAGUUAAUUUACCUGCUGAAGAAGUGCCUCCGGAGCUCCCAGAGCCUGCUUUGGGUAUCAACUUUGCCAGAGAUGGGAUGCAGGAAAAGGACUGGUUGUCCUUAGUUGCUGUUCACAGUGAUGCUUGGUUGCUUGCAGUGGCUUUCUACUUUGGUGCUAGAUUUGGUUUUGAUAAAGCUGACCGAAAGCGACUCUUCAACAUGAUAAAUGAUCUCCCGACAAUAUUUGAAGUAGUUACCGGAAGUGCAAAGAAGCAGGCUAAGGAAAAAUCAUCAGUUUCAAAUCAUAGCAGUAACAAAUCCAAAUCAAGUUCAAAAGGGCGAGGUUCGGAAUCUGGAAAAUAUUCAAAGAAUUUGCAGUCUAAGGACGAGGAUGAGGGAUUGGACGAGGAGGAGGAGGAGGAGCAUGGGGAAACCUUGUGUGGGGCAUGUGGAGAGAACUAUGCAUCUGAUGAGUUUUGGAUUUGUUGUGACAUAUGCGAGAAGUGGUUUCAUGGCAAGUGCGUGAAGAUCACUCCUGCCAGGGCUGAGCACAUCAAGCAAUACAAAUGCCCGUCAUGCAGCAACAAGAGAGCUCGGCCUUGAGAGAAUUGAUGGGUGACUCAUCGCCUCUUGUAUUUUCCUGUAGCUCGAAUCUAACUAUUUAGUUGAAUGCUCUAAUUUAUUCAGUUCUCCGCCUGAUCAUCAAUUGUUGAAAUAUGGAGCAUGCUGCCAUGUGCUGGACGUUCCUGCUUGUGUUGUAAUUCUGAAAUGCGUCUGUGAAUUUCUGUUGUGAUUCUUUGGUUGAGUUUUAGGUCUUAUAUGUAUACCAUUUUCAAUUUGUAAUUUGUGAUGCAUGCUACUGGGGAAGUCGCACCCUUCAUCAACUUCCUCCAUUUUUGGUACUGCGUCUUGUGGAAAUUUCAUCAGUUGAGGUAACUGAAACCUGGAAGAUGGUAACUACCAAUUUCUGAAAACUGAGCAAGUAGAGAUGAGAUUGCUCCUUUUUGACAUGCCAUGAAUGUACUAUGAUUUGGAAAGAAAAAAGAAAAGAAAUUCCAAAGGAGCAAUAAGCUAGAUUAAAAUGGUGAGCUUCAAUGUAGAGAUAAGUAGCCCUGGCGCCAAAGUUUGAUCUGGAAGCUUAGGCAGGGCCACCAUGUGUUUGGAUUGCCAUAGUUAAAAAGGAUGGCUUAAUGUUGCAAGUUUAGCUUCUCGUUAAUUCC